AUACAGAUGACGAGUCCCAAAUAGGACGAAACGUCCGUCCUGUAU
rfam:Schistosoma curassoni strain Dakar, Senegal genome assembly, scaffold: SCTD_scaffold0001975